rnacentral:tRNA from 1 species
GCCGACGUAGCUCAAUUGGCAGAGCAGCGGUUUUGUAAACCGCAGGUUGCGGGUUCGAGCCCGGCCGUCGGCU